rnacentral:lncRNA from 1 species
GACUUGAUUUGAGCUAGCCCAUGCCCCAUGUUUUAUGCAAUGUCAUUGGAUCUCGAAUCAUAAUUCUAGAUCUAUAAUAUAUUUCUUAAUUUUCAAUUAAGUAUAGCAUCAACAUGAAUUAAGAUUAUUAAUUAAAACUAUUUUGAUUUUGUAAAAUAAUUUUAUAUCAAUUUUAUGCAAAAUUUUUUGAUCUGAAAACUAGGUUGGCUCACCUCUGAGCUAAGUUUGCUCACUUCAGUAGGUUGACUAAGUCUGAUACUUGGUCGACUAACUAAUUGUGAACAAUAACUAUUAUUGUUCGGUCUAAGACAACUAGAUCGGAUCAUUUAGCACUGAAUCGAUUAAAUCAGGAGACUGGAUCAACUUAAUUCAAAACUAGUCGGCUCAGUUGUCAUGCCAACAAGUAUCACAUAGUUUCAAAUUUGAAAAUUCUCGCAUAAACUGAAAUAAAAUCAAUCAUAACAAACUUUAGAUCAUAUCUAAAUAUUUUAUGAUUUUAAAUUUUAUUUUCAUGAUUAAAAUAAUUUUAAUCAUAUAGAUUAGAUGAUCUACUUUUCAUACAACUCAUGUUUUGUAUCAUAUACAACAAAUCCUAGGGUUUCAACAUCUAGGGUUUUACAAAAAAGUAAGUUCUUCAUUUUACUUUCUUCUUCAUGGGAUUAAAUCACAUGGCACCCCUACAUGUCAUAAGAGCAUCCUAUCGAGUAGGAAGAGAGGGCCUUUAAACUUUUUUGCUCCU